rnacentral:rRNA from 1 species
GUGCCAGCAGCCGCGGUAAGACAGAGGCCACAAGCGUUAGGCGGAAUCACUGGGCUUAAAGCGUGUGUAGGUGGACGGCUAAGUGCCUUGUGAAAUCCCCCGGCUCAACCGGGGAACCGCUGGGCAUACUGGUCGUCUUGAGCCAUCUAGGGGCAACUGGAACGAACGGUGGAGCGGUGAAAUGCGUAGAUAUCGUUCGGAACGCCAACGGUGAAAACAGGUUGCUGGGGAUGUGCUGACACUGAGACACGAAAGCCAGGGGAGCAAACGGGAUUAGAUACCCGCGUAGUCC